GUAGCCCAUUUCUUUCCACUCCAUACGCUACACCUCGACCUGACGUUUUUGGGUAGGCCCAUUUUGCUUACUGUUGGGCCUUCAUAGGGUAAGCUGACGACGGCGGUAUAUAGGCGGGAAAAAACAAGAAGUGGUGAGGUU
rnacentral:rRNA from 1 species